rnacentral:lncRNA from 1 species
AGGAGCAGGUGGGACUCCUGUGGAAUCUGGACAGAGGAGAAAGUGCCAAGAAGCUGUAAUUUUCCAAAGGCUUGCUGGUUUCCCAUUGAGGAAGACACACCGUAAGAAUAACAUGGUCAAUUCCCCGGGGAGUUUCUAUCCUAAUCUGCUGGUUUUCAAGAAUAGAGAUACCAGCAUGUUCUAUGAGGAAAGAACGUGGACCGGGGCAAAGCAUGCCUCCCUAAAUUGGACCCCAUUAAGGCAGAGCUUUUGCAGGAAAAGACAAAUUUGGUAGCACUGUGUUCACAGCAAAAAGAAAACUUCAGACUCAACACUCACCAGAGCAAAGAUGACAAGCAACUCCCUGUAUAUAAAAGUGCAUUAAAACAAUGAAUUGCUAUGC